UACGUAGGGUGCAAGCGUUAAUCGGAAUACUGGGCGUAAAGCGUGCGCAGGCGGUUAUGUAAGACAGAUGUGAAAUCCCCGGGCUUAACCUGGGAACUGCAUUUGUGACUGCAUCGCUGGAGUGCGGCAGAGGGGGAUGGAAUUCCGCGUGUAGCAGUGAAAUGCGUAGAUAUGCGGAGGAACACCGAUGGCGAAGGCAAUCCCCUGGGCCUGCACUGACGCUCAUGCACGAAAGCGUGGGGAGCGAAACAAG
rnacentral:rRNA from 1 species